GGGGCCCGGCGGGCGGGGCGGGGCGCGCGCCUCCGGCGCCGUCCGUCCGUCCGUCCACCUUCCUCCUCCCUCCCGGCCUCCCGCCCGCCGCGGGCGGGGGCGGGGGCGGAGGGGGGGAGGGGCGCGCGCGUCCCCGGUCGGCGCGCCCCGCUUCUCCGGUUCCCGCCUCCUCCCCGUUCACCGCCGGGGUGGCCCGUCCGCCCCGGGCUGGGACCGGGGCACGGGGAGCGUGGGUGGGGAACCGCGGAGGCGGCCGCCGCGCCGAGCGGGGGCUCCCGCGGCCCGCCGGCCCCUGUCCCGGGGGUGUCCGCGCGGGCCCGGGGGGCGGCCACCCACCCGGGGUUCCGUCCCUCGCG
rnacentral:misc_RNA from 1 species